rnacentral:tRNA from 1 species
GCCGCUGGAGCAGCUGGAUCUGUGGCCCGUCGCUCAGCUCGAUGCCCGUGGGGGCGGCCAUAUCGCGUUCCCGGUCGCGGCGGGAGAGCAGCA